CAGUCGCCACGGUAAUACGUAUGGUGCGAGCGUUAAUCGGAAUUACUGGGCGUAAGCGUGCGCAGGCGGCUAUAUAAGACAGAUGUGAAAUCCCCGGGCUCAACCUGGGACCCGCAUUUGUGACUGUAUAGCUAGAGUACGGUAGAGGGGGAUGGAAUUCCGCGUGUAGCAGUGAAAUGCGUAGAUGUGCGGAGGAACACCGAUGGCGAAGGCAAUCCCCUGGACCUGUACUGACGCUCAUGCACGAAAGCGUGGGGAGCAAACAGGAUUAGAUACCCCCGUAGUCCCUGUCUCUUAUACA
rnacentral:rRNA from 1 species